rnacentral:rRNA from 1 species
UACGAAGGGGGCUAGCGUUGCUCGGAAUCACUGGGCGUAAAGCGUGCGCAGGCGGCUGCUCAAGUCAGGGGUGAAAGCCCAGAGCUCAACUCUGGAAUUGCCUUUGAGACUGAGUGGCUUGAGUACGGGAGAGGUGAGUGGAAUUCCCAGUGUAGAGGUGAAAUUCGUAGAUAUUAGGAAGAACACCGGUGGCGAAGGCGGCCCACUGGUCCGGUACUGACGCUGAGGUGCGAAAGCGUGGGGAGCAAACAGG